GGGGGUGUAAAGGUAUCGACGAAUGAUUUUUAAUUUAAAUGCACAUCGAGGGAAUUUCUCGUUAAAUGUCAAGAAACAAUAUAAAUGCAAACGAUAAUUUUGCUUUAGAAGCAGCAUAUGUAUAAUCAUAUGUUGUAGUUUUUUAUUUUCAGAAUUUAUAUUAAAAAUAUGAAUUCUAUAAAAUGUUUUAGUGAUUUUUUUUUGGAGUUGCUAAAAUGAUAGAAUUUCAAAAAAUAAAUGUGUAGAUAUUUAAAGUUUUCAAGUUGUUCGGACGCGGGUUCAACUCCCGCCACCUCCAUUU
rnacentral:tmRNA from 1 species